UGGGAUCCUGGGUGCCUCACCGGAUGGUCUGGGAUCCUGGGUGCCCCUCACCAGAUGGUCUGGGAUCCUGGGUGCCUCACCGGAUGGUCUGGGAUCCUGGGUGCCCCUCACCAAACGGUCUGGGAUCCUGGGUGCCUCACCGGAUGGUCUGGUGGUGGAGGUCAAGUGUUCCUAUGGUGCCUAAAAGGGACCUGACCAUUGAAGAGGAGGUCGAAUGAUUUCUAUAUCCAAGCGGAGGGAAGGUCUUACUGCCUCUGUGACGACCAUCCUUCCUGGCACCAGGUCCAAGUCCAAGGUCAGUUCCACAUCACCGGAAGGGACACCUGCUUCUUCGUUAUCGUGGACCACCACAGCCUCCCGUCCAGCGUGACGACCUCUGGCACACUCAUAUUGCUGGACUAGAGAAGUGUUUCAAGGACCACAUGCUCCCAAAGGCAGCACUGCAACAGUGAACUGUAGAUUUAUUGUAAAUAGGUUUUACAACAGUGAACUGUAGAUUUAUUGUAAAUAGGUUUUACAACAGUGAACUGUAGAUUUAUUGUAAAUAGGUCUUACAACAGUGAACUGUAGAUUUAUUGUAAAUAGGUUUUACAACAGUGAACUGUAGAUUUAUUGUAAAUAGGUUUUACAACAGUGAACUGUAGAUUUAUUGUAAAUAGGUUUUACAACAGUGAACUGUAGAUUUAUUGUAAAUAGGUCUUACAACAGUGAACUGUAGAUUUAUUGUAAAUAGGUUUUACAACAGUGAACUGUAGAUUUAUUGUAAAUAGGUUUUACAACAGUGAACUGUAGAUUUAUUGUAAAUGGUUUUACAACAGUGAACUGUAGAUUUAUUGUAAAUAGGUUUUACAACAGUGAACUGUAGAUUUAUUGUAAAUAGGUUUUACAACAGUGAACUGUAGAUUUAUUGUAAAUGGUUUUUAAACACUGUCACUGGAUCAUCAUUCUCGUCACGGGCCUCGUCCUCCUGUCAGUACCUGCUUUCAGGGAAGACGAUGGUCCAAAAAUAUUCCACAUAGUUCAUACACACACACGAGACUCCCAGAAUAAUGUAUAUUACACACACUAGACUCCCAGAAUAAUGUAUAUUACACACACUAGACUCCCAGAAUAAUGUAUAUUACACACACUAGACUCCCAGAAUAAU
ensembl:lncRNA